rnacentral:lncRNA from 1 species
GGAAGGGCUUUCUUUAGAAAAAUUUAACAAAAUGUAAAUGAUAACAAGCUCCGUUUGUCACCUCUCCCGUGGAUAUUUACACACAGAUAGACCCAGUUGGAAUCGGCAGAUUUUGCUCCCUGCUUGUGAAGCUCUCAAACCCGCCAAUCUCAUCGGGGAAACGAGGGUGGGGCUCCUACCUCUUGCAUUUGCUUAUUGAUCCAGCAAGCGUGUAUUGGGCAGCUGAGCGGCUUCUCUAUGCCAAAAGGGCAUCCAGAGCGAGGAGACCUACGUUGUCCAUUGUCCAUGCCACCCUGGGCAUAAGGACACGGGAUGCUGCCUCUCACCACCCCUGCACCUGAGCUCCAACCAAAUGUUAGGAACUCACCACCCCUGUACCUGAGCUCCAACCAAAUGUUAGGCACAUGUGCAUUAGCUCUCGCUGUCCUUGGGGAUCUGUUUCCUGAUUUGCAUAAUACUUGCUGGGUAGGGCUAGCAGAGACCGCUCAAAUCCCUGUCGUUUAUGACUCUUUUAUUUGUUGUCAACUCGGUAACAAAUGUGGAAGAGAAAACAAGCUUGAGACUGUGUUGUGGAGGGCUGAUUCACCGUGGUCUUUAAAAGUGUGACUUUCGACAUGACCCCUCAGUUCCCCCUCUGGGAUGCGGGGAUGCUGGUGGUAUGAAUGAACCUCCUCCUUCCACACAUGGGAAGAGAAUUAUGUGAGUUGUUAAUGUAUGUAAAGUGCUUGGAACCUGCAGGGCUCUGCUGAACUGGCCGUGUGCUUCAGGAUGGGCACAGGUGGGCUGGAGUCUCAUCCUUCUGGGUCUCAUGGGUCAUGAGGGGCAGGCUCCUGCACAGCUGCGGCUGAAAUGCAAGGAAGUCAGCAGGACUGCACAAGCACACUUCAAGCCUCAGCUGUGGCCUGUCUGCUAAUAUCUGCUGGGGGAAGUCUGUCAUGUGGGUCAGAGCAAGUCACAGGGCUAUGGCAGGGAGUGGAUGCAGAACGCCCCUCACAGUUAUGAAAUCUCACC